UGAAGAAAUUGGUGUCCUUCCAGAUUCUUGGACACUUCAGAUGACUCCUACUGGACAUUCUCAGGUAGACCAGCAACAGAAACUGUUCCGCACUGUCAUUGAGCUAAGUAAGGGAUCUGACGUAUUUGACUUGGAAAAAGUAUAUGGCACGAUUAAUCAAUGUAUUUAGAAAGAUUGGGAAGACUAUGACAGAAGGGAUUUGGUGGAGGAAAGAAGCAUCUCCUUGGAGGACCCAAAACCCUCCCUGGAGAACAGGAACAUCA